rnacentral:rRNA from 1 species
CCUACGGGAGGCAGCAGUGGGGAAUAUUGCGCAAUGGGCGAAAGCCUGAUGCAGCGACGCCGCGUGGGGGAUGAAGGUCCUCGGAUCGUAAACCUCUGUCAGCGUGGAAGAACGGUCACUAUGCUAAUCAGCAGUGAAUUGACGGUACUAGCAGAGGAAGCACCGGCUAACUCGGUGACAGCAGCCGCGGUAAUACGGAGGGUGCGAGCGUUAAUCGGAAUUAAUGGGCGUAAAGCGUUCGUAGGCGGUAUGGUAAGUCAAGUGUGAAAUCCCCGCGCUCAACCCGGGAACCGCAUUUGACACUGAGAGACUAGAGUGAGUGAGAGGGUAGUGGAAUUCUAGGUGUAGGAGUGAAAUGCGUAGAUAUCUAGAGGAACACCAGUGGCGAAGGCGGGUAUCUGGCCCAUAACUGACGCUGAGGCACGAAGGCGUGGGUAGCGAAAGGGAUUAGAUACCCUUGUAGUC